AUAUGUCAACAACAGUACUUGUUUCAGUUAAUUUAACAAGACAAACAAUACCAAGGAGCUAUGAAUCAAUGAAUACUCGAGGAUGUACUACAGCAGUAUUACAAGGUAUGGGCAGAGGAGUUGACUAUUGAUAAUGACUGAUACUGGAAUUAAUGAAGUAACCUACAUGUAGUGUCCAAUCUCUAUGUGGAGUUUGCCUAUCAGACAGUCCAUUUUUACAUGUACCAAAAAAUAAUUAGCUCCCCAGAUGUAAGUGGAAGUGAAGUUAUACAUGUUAUAUGUUUCGAUGAAAUGAAUGACUUGAUUAGAUAUACAUGUAGUGGAGACCCUAUAGAUACAGUACAUGUAACUGGAACUGUAGGAAGUAUUCAAAGAGUCUGAUUGCUAAGUAUGCAUUACAGGAUUUUAUCAUUGGAGCAACAUCUUAGGCGGAGAAGUGCAAAUGUAUGAAGGAAUCCUUGGGUACAAAUAGCAAUUAUAUGCAGAAGAGGACUCUUAAACAUUAUUAACAGACAUGUAGUCAUAGUAGUGGUGUUUUCAAGAAACGUAAACCAACUGGAAUUAACAAUUGUGUAUAUUUUUUCAACCACAAGUACUUUCAGAAUAUAAUACAAUUCAAAUUCAAAUUAUUGUGUCAACAUACAAGUUACAGUAAAAAAUGAAAAUGCAUGUUUUAAAAUGAAUUUUAUAUAAAAAAAUGAAAUAACAAGAAUUUUUAGCUUAUUGUGCAGCCAAACUUUGAGAUCUUUUAAUGGUAUAUGCCUGUUGUUUGUCAACAUUUUGCCUUAACCUUAAGAUCAGUGUUAAAAUGAGAAAAAAACUAUUUUUGCAUAUAUGAAAUAAGAAGUAAAUGGUUGUAAAUUACAGAGAGCCUUUCAAUAUGGUACAUUUGUAUAUCAGCUAUAUUUCACAGAACUUUCUAUUUUAGUUUAUUAGUACAAUGAGACAUGAGGUAUACAUCAAUCAGCCAGCAAUAUAACAACAAAAACACCUGAAAGGCAUUAAGGUGCUAACAUGCAGUCCUCAACAAAAGACAGGUGUCUAAAAGAUAUGCCAUGAUCUAUUUAAUUGACCAGAGGCUAUAAAAAAAAUUACAAUAUGAAUCAAGAAUAGCCAUCAACACCAAAUUCUCUGAAUAUUUUUUUUUUAUUAAGACGAGAUUUUUGACAACCACUGAAAAGAUUUCUGGCUUUAAGCAGGUACAUGAAUAAGUGGCGAGGUGAACUAGUUUUUUUUCUUCAAAACCUUCUUAAAGAGAAUUGGCAUCUUUUGCAAGUAAGUCUUUUCCAUAAUGUGAUUGGUUUGUGUCAAAACUGAUGACCACACAAUAUGACUUAUACAAACAUAAUAAAAAUCAACUCAAAUGAAAUAUACAUCAGUGCAAUCAACUUCUAUAAAUGACCACAGUCCAUAAAUCAUUUACAAAAAAGGAUUGAGACUCAACACAACCAAAAAAGUUCUAGGAGUGAACUAAGGUGCCCUGGAUAUAAUUUAUAUCCUGUGAUGCAUUUGCUUGCCUUCUUUGUUUAAGACCAAAAAAUUUUGGAAACAAAGAAAGUAAAACAGAAUGGAAGUAUGAACACAUGGUCCAGACCAAGAAUAAUAUUUUUCAUGUUUAUAUAUAUAUCAAAACAGAAUUUGUAUUAGAUUAGAAUUGACUUACAUAAAUAAGCUCAAAUCCUGUGAAAUUAGUGUGAUUGAGGCUGAAUUCACUUUAAUUUCAUUAAAAAAAAGAAGCUCGAUUCAUGUUAAUUUCACGUGAAAAGUUCACGUGAAUUUCACGUGAAGGCUCAAUUCACGUGAAUUUCACAUGAAAAAUUUCACGUGAAUUUCACGUGAAUCAGUAUUUCACGUGA